CCUACGGGUGGCAGCAGUGGGGAAUAUUGGGCAAUGGGCGCAAGCCUGACCCAGCAACGCCGCGUGAAGGAAGAAGGCUUUCUGGUUGUAAACUUCUUUUCUCAGGGACGAAGCAAGUGACGGUACCUGAGGAAUAAGCCACGGCUAACUACGUGCCAGCAGCCGCGGUCAUACGUAGGUCGCAAGCGUUAUCCGGAUUUACUGGGUUUAAAGGGCGUGUAGGCGGUUACGCAAGUCAGAUGUGAAAACCACGGGCUCAACCUGUGGCCUGCAUUUGACACUGUGUUUCGUGAGUACUGGAGAGGUAGACGGAAUGCCUAGUGUAGCGGUGAAAUGCGUAGAUAUUAGGAGGAACACCAGUGGCGAAGGCGGUCUGCUGGACAGCAACUGACGCUGAGGCGCGAAAGCGUGGGGAGCAAACAGGAUUAGAUACCCUAGUAGUC
rnacentral:rRNA from 1 species